UUUGUACCAUGUGUAAGUGUUAAUAGAUUAUGUAAUGUAAAUCAAACCACAUAGUAUUGUCUCCGCCAAGAGAGUAGGAAUACACAACUUCAAGAAGUUCCGGCCGCCUAGAAAAAGGAAAUCUGAUUCCCAAGCCGUCUCGAGGACUUAGAAAGGCCUUCACCUGUAAACAGAGACGCAAAAGGGCCCACACACCACUUGGUCUUCCAGCUGGAGCGGACGUUUCAUGUUGCAUCGCGGCACCAGAAAAAGUCCACUGGAGAAACCUUCACCUGUAGUUCAGGGAAAGACAUAGAACAGUACCUGAGACAAAAUGGCUGAAUACUGAUGGAGGGGCUGCGUUUUCCUUUAUGUGUGGACAGACCAGCCUGCACUAACAUGUGUCAACAACUACGCACUCAUUGUCCCGAGGACAGAGGGAAAAACCAACAGUCUCGAAAGAAUGAGGCCUGUGAACACAACACAUUGCCAGCCUAUGAUGCUUCACCUCCAACAGAAAAUUGGACUUGAACUGGAAAACAGGAACAUGAAGGUGUUUUUUCACCAGAAAGGAAAGUGUCUUUUGCUGCUGUAAGAUGUAAGAGCUUAUAUAACCACAGAACAGAAACAAUGAAGUUUCCUGCAUCACUAACUAACUUUCAGUUUAGCUACGACCUGUGUAAACAUGUUGUCUCCAGUAAGAAUGAAAAAUCAGUCUUUCUCAACAAUACAGUAGCCAAGUUAAAGGUGAUUCAGAGAAUCCAAAUAUUUGUGUAAAAUGUCUUUUUACAAUAAACAUAAGUAAAAACUC